rnacentral:rRNA from 1 species
AGUGAACGCUGGCGGUAGGCCUAACACAUGCAAGUCGAACGGCAGCACAGUAAGAGCUUGCUCUUACGGGUGGCGAGUGGCGGACGGGUGAGGAAUACAUCGGAAUCUACUUUUUCGUGGGGGAUAACGUAGGGAAACUUACGCUAAUACCGCAUACGACCUACGGGUGAAAGCAGGGGAUCUUCGGACCUUGCGCGAUUGAAUGAGCCGAUGUCGGAUUAGCUAGUUGGCGGGGUAAAGGCCCACCAAGGCGACGAUCCGUAGCUGGUCUGAGAGGAUGAUCAGCCACACUGGAACUGAGACGCGGUCCAGACUCCUACGGGAGGCAGCAGUGGGGAAUAUUGGGCAAUGGGCGCAAGCCUGAUCCAGCCAUACCGCGUGGGUGAAGAAGGCCUUCGGGUUGUAAAGCCCUUUUGUUGGGAAAGAAAAGCAGCAGGUUAAUACCCCACUGUUCUGACGGUACCCAAAGAAUAAGCACCGGCUAACUUCGUG